rnacentral:rRNA from 1 species
AUGAACGCUGGCGGCGUGCCUAAUACCUGCGAGUCGAGCGAACAGAUGAGGAGCUUGCUCCUCUGACGUUAGCGGCGGACGGGUGAGUAACACGUGGAUAACCUACCUAUAAGACUGGGAUAACUUCGGGAAACCGGAGCUAAUACCGGAUAAUAUAUUGAACCGCAUGGUUCAAUAGUGAAAGACGGUUUUGCUGUCACUUAUAGAUGGAUCCGCGCCGCAUUAGCUAGUUGGUAAGGUAACGGCUUACCAAGGCGACGAUGCGUAGCCGACCUGAGAGGGUGAUCGGCCACACUGGAACUGAGACACGGUCCAGACUCCUACGGGAGGCAGCAGUAGGGAAUCUUCCGCAAUGGGCGAAAGCCUGACGGAGCAACGCCGCGUGAGUGAUGAAGGUCUUCGGAUCGUAAAACUCUGUUAUUAGGGAAGAACAAAUGUGUAAGUAACUAUGCACGUCUUGACGGUACCUAAUCAGAAAGCCACGGCUAACUACGUG